rnacentral:lncRNA from 1 species
UUCUCUUUACCAUCACAACGAGUGAUAUAAUAAUGUUAGUUGAAGUAAAAAUCAGAUUUCACAGCGGAGAAUCCAAUUUCUUUUGGGCUUUCCCAAUAGAGAAGGAUAAUAGUAGUAAAAUCAGAUUUCACAACAAGGGAAAAUAAAAUAAUCGAAUUUUCAAUUUCAUGGCCAUAGCGUAUCCAACAAAACGGGAACUCGCAUAAGAAAACAACGAGACAUAUGAACCGCAAAAUCCUGACACAGUGCAUGAAACUCAUGCAUGGAGGCGAUGUCCAUGUUUUUCCACACGCACUUACAAGAAUCAGCAGCAACUUCACACAAAUCAACGCCAAUACUGUUUUACUGUUUUAAAUUGAAU